AGACCCGAAACCCGGUGAUCUAGCCAUGGGCAGGUUGAAGGUUGGGUAACACUAACUGGAGGACCGAACCGACUAAUGUUGAAAAAUUAGCGGAUGACCUGUGGCUGGGGGUGAAAGGCCAAUCAAACCGGGAGAUAGCUGGUUCUCCCCGAAAGCUAUUUAGGUAGCGCCUCGUGAAUUCAUCUCCGGGGGUAGAGCACUGUUUCGGCUAGGGGGCCAUCCCGGCUUACCAACCCGAUGCAAACUGCGAAUACCGGAGAAUGUUAUCACGGGAGACACACGGCGGGUGCUAACGUCCGUCGUGAAGAGGGAAACAACCCAGACCGCCAGCUAAGGUCCCAAAGUCAUGGUUAAGUGGGAAACGAUGUGGGAAGGCCCAGACAGCCAGGAUGUUGGCUUAGAAGCAGCCAUCAUUUAAAGAAAGCGUAAUAGCUCACUGGUCGAGUCGGCCUGCGCGGAAGAUGUAACGGGGCUAAACCAUGCACCGAAGCUGCGGCAGCGAACGUAUCACUUAAAGCGAUUCAGCGGAUGACGAUUGACGGAGCGAAGCGACGUCAAAGCGUAUACAAAGUCGAGUCGGUUUAAGGAUACGUUCGUUGGGUAGGGGAGCGUUCUGUAAGCCUGCGAAGGUGGCCUGUGAGGGUUGCUGGAGGUAUCAGAAGUGCGAAUGCUGACAUAAGUAACGAUAAAGCGGGUGAAAAGCCCGCUCGCCGGAAGACCAAGGGUUCCUGUCC
rnacentral:rRNA from 1 species